rnacentral:rRNA from 1 species
UACGGAGGGUGCAAGCGUUAUCCGGAUUCACUGGGUUUAAAGGGUGCGUAGGCGGCUUGAUAAGUCAUUGGUGAAAGCUCGCAGCUUAACUGCGAAACUGCCGUUGAAACUGUCAAGCUUGAAUAUGGUUGAAGUGGGCGGAAUACAACAUGUAGCGGUGAAAUGCUUAGAUAUGUUUUAGAACACCGAUUGCGAAGGCAGCUCACUAAGCCAAUAUUGACGCUGAGGCACGAAAGCGUGGGUAGCGAACAGG